rnacentral:rRNA from 1 species
UACGGGGGGGGUAAGCGUUGUUCGGAAUUACUGGGCGUAAAAGGGCUCGUAGGCGGCCAACUAAGUCAUACGUGAAAUCCCUCAGCUUAACUGGGGAACUGCGUGUGAUACUGGAUGGCUUGGAUUUGGGAGAGGGAUGCGGAAUUCCAGGUGUAGCGGUGAAAUGCGUAGAUAUCUGGAGGAAUACCGGUGGCGAAGGCGGCAUCCUGGACCGGCAUUGACGCUGAGUGAGCGAAAGCCAGGGGAGCAAAGCGGG